rnacentral:tmRNA from 1 species
GGGGGCGACCUGGCUUCGACGGGGGCAUAGAAGUUCGAGACGCGUGCCGAGCUUGUUGGGUGCUCGUAAAACCUCCGACAACAACACAAAAGCCAACGACAACGUUGAGCUCGCGCUGGCUGCCUAAAACCAGCUCUUAGCGCGCGGUCCCCCAGCUCUCGGCCCGUGGGGUUGGGACGGACCGUCAUAAUGCGGGCUGGCUGCUGAGGGUGCCUGGGCCCGAGGUGGCGAGACCUUUCCAGGACCGGCUCUGAGUAUCCCGUCCGUGGGAGCCUCAGGGACGUAAUAAAUCGCGGACUACGCACGUAGGGUCAAAGGACGGAAGGCUUUCGGACGCGGGUUCGAUUCCCGCCGCCUCCACAA